rnacentral:rRNA from 1 species
UGGGGAAUUUUGGACAAUGGGCGCAAGCCUGAUCCAGCAAUGCCGCGUGAGUGAAGAAGGCCUUCGGGUUGUAAAGCUCUUUUGUCAGGGAAGAAACGGGCCGGGCUAAUACCUUGGUCUAAUGACGGUACCUGAAGAAUAAGAACCGGCUAACUACGUUCCAGCAGCCGCGGUAAUACGUAGGGUGCAAGCGUUAAUCGGGAUUACUGGGCGUAAAGCGUGCGCAGGCGGUUAUGUAAGACAGGUGUGAAAUCCCCGGGCUUAACCUGGGAACUGCAUUUGUGACUGCAUAGCUAGAGUACGGUAGAGGGGGAUGGAAUUCCGCGUGUAGCAGUGAAAUGCGUAGAUAUGCGGAGGAACACCGAUGGCGAAGGCAAUCCCCUGGACCUGUACUGACGCUCAUGCACGAAAGCGUGGGGAGCAAAC